GGACUGCAUGUGUGGAAGUCAUUCUCAGUGAAGAUACAGCAUCAACAUGGUGCUCCUAUCUGAGCUCCUUAUAGUGCUGCUGUUCUGGUUUGCAGGUGCAAAAUGUGAUAUCCAGAUGACUCAGUCUCCAUCCACUUUGUCUGCAUCUCUGGGAGAAAGUGUCACCAUCACUUGUCAUGCCAGCCAGAACAUUAAUAGUUGGUUAGCAUGGCACCAACAGAAACCAGGGGAUGCUCCUAAACUCUUAAUCUAUAAGACUUCCAAGUUGCAUAAAGACAUACUACCGAAGUUCAGUGGCAGUGGAUCUGGAACAGACUACUCUCUCACCAUUAGUAACUUGCAGGCUGAAGAUGUUGCCACUUAUUAUUGUCAACAGGAUCUUAGUGUUCCUCUCACAGUGAUACAAGUCAUAACACAAACCUCCUAGGGGUGCAUUGAAGCAAGACUGAGUGCCUCAGCUGCUUGUUGUAGUGCCUGCACCUGCAAACUUUUUGUUGCAAGAAUUGGCUGGGCUUUGUAGGUCUUUGGGAGGAUUGCAGAGAACUGCCAGUGUGGCUCUUUUAUUUUUAACUCUCUUCCUCUCAGGCCCAAGAGCACAGACAUGACAGUAUAUCUUAUAAAUCACUUAGAAGUGGUUACUUUUAUGUUUAAGUGAUCCAAAUAUUUCACUCGCUGUGACUUAUAUAGCAACAAGCUCCUUCUAAUUAUACCUCCAGGAAGACUAUUGUAAUUUAUGGAACUACUGUCUUUAUAACAGAAUCUCAUGGUCUGUGUCAUGCUAUGAUUUGAUGCUGCAAUAUCUAAUAAAGCUUACAUUGUAAA